rnacentral:rRNA from 1 species
UACGGGGGGAGCAAGCGUUGUUCGGAUUUACUGGGCGUAAAGGGCGCGUAGGCGGCGCAACAAGUCACUUGUGAAAUCUCCGGGCUUAACCCGGAGCGGCCAAGUGAUACUGUCGUGCUAGAGUAUGGUAGGGGCAGAGGGAAUUCCUGGUGUAGCGGUGAAAUGCGUAGAGAUCAGGAAGAACAUCGGUGGCGAAGGCGCUCUGCUGGACCAUAACUGACACUCAGGGACGAAAGCUAGGGGAGCGAAUGGG